GUCCUUAAGUUCAAUCCAAAAUUCUUUUAAAGAUCCAGAUUCAAAUUUCUGUUUUAAAUAUUACAUGCUUUUAAUUUCAAUUAACUGCUCAUAUUCGAGCAUGGAUAACAUUGCAGGGUUUUUUUUGGUUCACAAAAGGAUUUUGUAUCCAAUUAACGUCAUUAUUAGUAGCAAGAAAAUACUGAGACAAUGAUUUUUCGAGGUUUUCCAA